rnacentral:rRNA from 1 species
AUUGAACGCUGGCGGCAGGCCUAACACAUGCAAGUCGAACGGUAACAGGAAGCAGCUUGCUGCUCUGCUGACGAGUGGCGGACGGGUGAGUAAUGUCUGGGAAGCUGCCUGAUGGAGGGGGAUAACUACUGGAAACGGUAGCUAAUACCGCAUAAUGUCGCAAGACCAAAGAGGGGGACCUUCGGGCCUCUUGCCAUCGGAUGUGCCCAGAUGGGAUUAGCUUGUUGGUGGGGUAACGGCUCACCAAGGCGACGAUCCCUAGCUGGUCUGAGAGGAUGACCAGCCACACUGGAACUGAGACACGGUCCAGACUCCUACGGGAGGCAUCAGUGGGGAAUAUUGCACAAUGGGCGCAAGCCUGAUGCAGCCAUGCCGCGUGUAUGAAGAAGGCCUUCGGGUUGUAAAGUACUUUCAGCGGGGAGGAAGGGAGUAAAGUUAAUACCUUUGCUCAUUGACGUUACCCGCAGAAGAAGCACCGGCUAACUCCGUG